CCUACGGGAGGCAGCAGUGGGGAAUAUUGGGCCAUGGGCGCAAGCCUGACCCAGCAACGCCGCGUGAAGGAAGAAGGCUUUCGGGGUGUAAACUUCUUUUCUGAGGGACGAAGAAAGUGACGGUACCUCAGGAAUAAGCCACUGCUAACUACGUGCCAGCAGCCGCGGUAAUACGUAGGUGGCAAGCGUUAUCCGGAUUUAUUGGGUGUAAAGGGCGUGUAGGCGGGAAAGCAAGUUAGAUGUGAAAACUCAGGGCUCAACCCUGCGACUGGCUUUGAUACUGUUUUUCUUGAGUGCAGUAGCGGCAAUCGGAAUUCCGUGUGUAGCGGUGAAAUGCGUAGAGAUACGAAGGAACACCAGUGGCGAAGGCGGAUUGCUAGACAAUAACUGACGCUGAGGCGCGAAAGCGUGGGGAGCAAACAGGAUUAGAUACCCUAGUAGUC
rnacentral:rRNA from 1 species